CUUGUUUACUAGUGAAACCAAGGAAACGUCUAAGAUAGAAACACUUGAGCUCAAACACAGCUGAAGUGAGGACGUCUGAGCGAUACACGAAUAACUCACUGGAAAUAUAAAUCUUCAGGAGAUGGAAAAUAACUUCGCACUUAGUGCUAAUACCUACGAAAUCGUCCACACCUACGAUGUAACUGAUUCAAUCCAACUGCUGUUUACGAUUUUCUUUAUCUGUUGGUUGUUAAGAAAUUUAUUUCGAAAAACGAUUACCCGUAAUACACGAGUGGAUCCCAGAUAUAUCUACACAGAUAUCAGCCACAAUUUCAUCAUGAUAGUAGUUCAUGAACAGUGUCCACACGACCAUCAGCGCCACACCACGCAUCAGUAGAAACAAAUAUAA